AACCCAUGGUGGGGGCACUUCAAAAUCAAAUCUUUGAAUCUUUCCCAAGAUUCGUAGAAUUGUUCAUCCUCUUUUUGCCUAAAGUCAGAAAUGUCUCGCCUGAGGGG